GAUGAAGAACGUAGCGAAAUGCGAUACGUAAUGUGAAUUGCAAAUUCAGUGAAUCAUCGAGUCUUUGAACGCACAUUGCGCCCCCUGGUAUUCCGGGGGGCAUGCCUGUCCGAGCGUCAUUGCUGCCCUCAAGCACGGCUUGUGUGUUGGGCCCCGUCCUCCGAUUCCGGGGGACGGGCCCGAAAGGCAGCGGCGGCACCGCGUCCGGUCCUCGAGCGUAUGGGGCUUUGUCACCCGCUCUGUAGGCCCGGCCGGCGCUUGCCGAUCAACCCAAAUUUUUAUCCAGGUUGACCUCGGAUCAGGUAGGGAUACCCGCUGAACUUAAGCAUAUAAUAAGCGGAGGA
rnacentral:misc_RNA from 1 species